GACGAACGCUGGCGGCGUGCCUAACACAUGCAAGUGGAGCGACGAACCAGGCUUCGGCCUGGGGCAAAGCCGCGAACGGGUGAGUAACACGUGGGUAACCCUGCCCUGAUGAUUGGGACAACCCGGAGGAAACUCGGGCUAAUACCAAAUGUGCCCUUCGGCCACAAGGCCGCUGGGGAAAGGAAGCUUCGGCCUCCGCAUCUGGAUGGGCCCGCGGCCCAUUAGCUUGUUGGUGAGGUAACGCNCACCAAGGCGACGAUGGGUAGCUGGUCUGAGAGGACGAUCAGCCACACUGGGACUGAGACACGGCCCAGACUCCUACGGGAGGCAGCAGUGGGGAAUCUUGCGCAAUGCGCGAAAGCGUGACGCAGCAACGCCGCGUGGGG
rnacentral:rRNA from 1 species